AACUUUGGUGAUAUUAGCUGUAUGUUGGUAAUUUUCUUCAUACAGCUUUAUUACCAAAAAC
rnacentral:pre_miRNA from 1 species